AACGGACCGUAUACGCAGCUUGCUGCGUGUAUGGUUAGUGGCAGACGGGUGAGUAAUGCAUAGGAAUCUACCUAGUAGUAUGGGAUAGCCACUAGAAAUGGUGGGUAAUACUGUAUAAUCCCUGCGGGGGAAAGAUUUAUCGCUAUUAGAUGAGCCUAUGUCAGAUUAGCUAGUUGGUGGGGUAAUGGCCUACCAAGGCGGUGAUCUGUAGCUGGUCUGAGAGGAUGAUCAGCCACACUGGAACUGAGACACGGUCCAGACUCCUACGGGAGGCAGCAGUGGGGAAUAUUGGACAAUGGGCGCAAGCCUGAUCCAGCUAUGCCGCGUGAGUGAGGAAGGCCUUAGGGUUGUAAAACUCUUUCAGUAGGGAAGAUAAUGACGGUACCUACAGAAGAAGUCCCGGCAAACUCCGUGCCAGCAGCCGCGGUAAUACGGAGGGGGCAAGCGUUGUUCGGAAUUAUUGGGCGUAAAGGGCAUGUAGGCGGUUUGGUAAGUUAAAGGUGAAAUACCAGGGCUUAACCCUGGGGCUGCUUUUAAUACUGCAGGACUAGAGUCCGGAAGAGGAU
rnacentral:rRNA from 1 species